GACGAACGCUGGCGGCGUGCUUAACACAUGCAAGUCGAACGGAAAGGCCCUGCUUGCAGGGUGCUCGAGUGGCGAACGGGUGAGUAACACGUGGGUGAUCUGCCCCUUACUUUGGGAUAAGCCUGGGAAACUGGGUCUAAUACUGGAUAGGACCAUGCUGUAGGUGGUGUGGUGGAAAGAUUAGUUUCGGUAAGGGAUGAGCUCGCGGCCUAUCAGCUUGUUGGUGGGGUAAUGGCCUACCAAGGCGUCGACGGGUAGCCGGCCUGAGAGGGUGGACGGCCACAUUGGGACUGAGAUACGGCCCAGACUCCUACGGGAGGCAGCAGUGGGGAAUAUUGCACAAUGGGCGCAAGCCUGAUGCAGCGACGCCGCGUGGGGGAUGACGGCCUUCGGGUUGUAAACUCCUUUCAGCCAUGACGAAGCCCUUGUGGUGGCGGUAGUGGUAGAAGAAGCACCGGCUAACUACGUG
rnacentral:rRNA from 1 species